ensembl:lncRNA
GUACUGUUCUAGUUCUCAAAUGUGCAUUCAGUCAGAACGUCUCCCUCCCAAUGACUCUCUCCUGCCAGACGGCUGACUUCCACACAUCAGACUACAUCUGCCCUAUUAGAUACAGACGGCUGACUUCCACACAUCAGACUACAUCUGCUCUAUUAGGUACAGACGGCUGACUUCCACACAUCAGACUACAUCUGCUCUAUUAGGUACAGACAGGUGACUUCUACACAUCAGACUACAUCUGCUCUAUUAGGUACAGACGGCUGACUUCCACACAUCAGACUACAUCUGCUCUAAUAGAUACAGACAGCUGACUUCCACACAUCAGACUACAUCUGCUCUAUUAGGUACAGACAGCUGACUUCCACACAUCAGACUACAUCUGCUCUAUUAGGUACAGACGGCUGACUUCUACACAUCAGACUACAUCUGCUCUAUUAGGUACAGACAGCUGACUUCCACACAUCAGACUACAUCUGCUCUAAUAG